AUCCCCUCCCUCUUUUCCAUCCCCAGCUUCCUCCUCUUCCUCCUCCAGCUCCAACUGCAGUGGCAAGGUCUGGGGAUUGAGAGGCCCGGCAUGACUAAGAGAUAUCGUGAAAUUACAACUCAACAAUGAUUUACAGCACAGGCUUUUCACAACUAAGAGACUGUCCAUCAUGGUGCCAGUUUUUCUCAAAAUGGCAUGUGUGCAUGAAAUUCUACAGGCAUAUGGGGUCGUGAUCUGCUAAUCUCCAGUUAUUAUACAAAACUACAGAUACUUGAAAACAGAACCAAAUAAAAAUUCUAGCAGAAGAAGACAAUAUAUGAAAUUUAAUAAUUCAUUUCCUGGGAAUGACAGCAGAAAGGUGAUGACAGAGGAAUGAGCCAAUAAAAUUUGAAGACAGUUUUAAAAUGUCCUGCAUUACAAGGGAAGGAUGUCCACUCUCACCAUCUAUAUUCAACAUUAUAUUGGAGGUCUUAGCCAGUGCAACAAGAAAAAAAUAGUGAUAUUAGAGGAAACGAAGAAACUACUUUGAAAAGGGACUUUCCAGCUAUCAGUACACUAUCUCACAAUUACCCUUGAACCAGAAGACAAUGAAUGAUUUGCUAAACAGAUGGCAUAGUCUAUGACAUGCAUCAUAUGUGUGAGCAAUCACAGAAGACUCCUUCCUGUUGCCUUGUGAAGAAGGCUCCUGCUUUCCCUUCACCUUCUGCGUGAUUGUAAGUUUCCUGAGGCCUCCUAGCCAUGCUUCUUGUUCAGUCUGCGGAACUGUCCUGAGCUGAAAAGAAUAUGAGAAAUGGGAUUUUACGACAUAGAGUUGAAAAUUUAUCAUGACAUAUGCUGGCUGCACAGUCAAAACUUAUCACUGCCCACGACUUCGGAAGCAUGACAGGAGAGCUGUGGGAGCCACUUCCUCAUCAGACGUGGUUUGAUAUGUCAAGCGAGAACCUGAGUAAAGCAAAGAGGUGAACUAUGACUUGGAAUCCUCCAGGCUUCGGCUUCCAUCACACUCCAUGAACUUGAUGCACAUAAUUUAAUGUAGGCCUCCACCCAAUAUCAUCAGUUCUCUUGCAUGUUGAACCCCCAGUUUCCUGGAUCUGACCAACAUGACCUUAAUGUUCCUAUCAGCUCGACUAAACUUCAAAGAGAUUUUUCCUCAAUAUGGGCCUCUAACUUCCCUUUUCUUAGAGCACUUACUUUAGAAAUUUUGCAAUUAUCAAUUUUUUCUCCCUAUUUUUGAGAUGUAAAUUUUCUACAACUCAGGAAUGUCUUUCUCAAGGACAUGAGAGAUAUCCCUUUGAAAUGUAAUUGUGAAAAAUGAUAGCACCUCUAUUUCAAUCUGUGUAGGAGAGUAGGAGCCUAACUCAGGUAAGUGACAAUUAGCAAACUCAGAUUGCCUAAACACAUUCACCAACUUCCCCACUAAUGUACUCCCUACUGGUUCACGUCAGCAUUUAAUAAUCCUUCUGCUUUCUUUUCAGUGGAGCUGAGUUCAGUCUGUCUCUAUACUGCAGUGGUCUUCUCUCCAAUUGCAAUGGUCUUGAGUAAAGUGUUCUUUGUUUGUUUUACUUGGAGAUGAUGUCAGUUCAAUAUUGAAGUCUCUCUUCCCUACUGCAGUAGUUCAAAUAAAAUCCAUCUUGCCAUUCUUAACAAGUAUUGGUAUAAUUUCUCUUUAACAUUUCUCAUGUCUUUCUCUUAAUUGGUUUCUUCUCUUGUUUUACAGAGCAUGUUAGUCACUGGUUUCUUAAGUCUGAUGAAUGUGCUUUCAUUACAUUUUUAUAUUAAUUGACUGAUAUUUUGGAUGGACACAUUUACACUGCUUGGUUAAAUACUGCUUGGUUAAAUAUGAUUUUCUCUCAGAAUCAUGUGGAAAUUUCUCCGUUAUUUUCUAGUUUCUGUUUUUGCAGUUGAGAAGUCCAAUAUCAUUUUGCUUCCCGACAUUUUAAAAAAAUGUAACCUGUUUCCAUUCUUUCUUUCUUUUGGUAUUUUGCAUCUGUUUUUAAAAAAGCAAUGAUAUAUUUCCAAAACCAUUGAAGAGUAUAAAGGAUAUUAUAAUAACGUCAUUAUACCCACCA